rnacentral:lncRNA from 1 species
CAAGUUUUCAGCGGCCCAUGAGUUGGAAGUUUUGAAUUUAUAGCUUGUGUAGUCAGAGGAUACCUCUUCACUCCGAAGCUUAUCCUGUAAGUGAGCAAUCUCUGCUGUGUACCUCACUUCACUGUCUUUCAGUUGUUGUUGGAAAUAAGACCUGAGGUGCUCCACCUCUUGAGCAUGUUGUUCUUCAAGUUGUGUUUUAACAUUCUCCAUCUCCUUC